GUCCUUUCUGUGACGUAGCCAAAAAACUAUGAAGUAAUUUUCUUUCCUCCAUUGCUUUCACGUGGUCUCUGAGAAGAAAGGACACAAGCUUCAUAAAACAUAGGACAGUGCUAUCCCCCAACUCCAGUGACGUACAGGAAAGAGAGACAGAGGAGGAAAAAUGGAGUAUAUCCAAAAGAAGUUUGGAAGGCAGAGCAAAAGAAAACUGAAAUUUUUCAUAUAAAGAGAUAAAAAGAAGUCAUUAGGGGGCUUCCCUGGUGGCGCAGUGGUUAAG